UUCCUGAUGUUUAGUCGGAAUCGCCUUUCUUGUAACUUGAAGCCGUUGGUUUGAGUCCUACCCUCCAGAGCAGGAGAAAACAAGCUUGCUCCAUCUUCCAUGGGACAGACCUUAAGAUAUUUGAAGAUGGCUAUCAUAUCUCCUCUCAGGCUCCUCUUUUCCAAGCUAAACAUACCCAGUUCCUUCAAGCA
rnacentral:sRNA from 1 species